rnacentral:rRNA from 1 species
AUUGAACGCUGGCGGCAGGCCUAACACAUGCAAGUCGAGCGGAUGAAGGGAGCUUGCUCCUGGAUUCAGCGGCGGACGGGUGAGUAAUGCCUAGGAAUCUGCCUGGUAGUGGGGGAUAACGUCCGGAAACGGGCGCUAAUACCGCAUACGUCCUGAGGGAGAAAGUGGGGGAUCUCCGGACCUCACGCUAUCAGAUGAGCCUAGGUCGGAUUAGCUAGUUGGUGGGGUAAAGGCCUACCAAGGCGACGAUCCGUAACUGGUCUGAGAGGAUGAUCAGUCACACUGGAACUGAGACACGGUCCAGACUCCUACGGGAGGCAGCAGUGGGGAAUAUUGGACAAUGGGCGAAAGCCUGAUCCAGCCAUGCCGCGUGUGUGAAGAAGGUCUUCGGAUUGUAAAGCACUUUAAGUUGGGAGGAAGGGCAGUAAGUUAAUACCUUGCUGUUUUGACGUUACCGACAGAAUAAGCACCGGCUAACUUCGUG